GCGAAUGGAAUUUCUUUUCACUCUAUUGGGUUUUGGACCUGAGCCCUAGGACCAUGCCUCAGGACUUCCUGGCCUGAUGACUCCUUGCUGUAUCCAGUCCACCUGGCCGUGCUGCUGCUCCAGUUUCAACUGUUCUCCCUGCGGCUAUGGAACCCUGACCUGUUUACCGGACGUGCUACCUGUCCCAGACCUGCUACCUGUCCCAGACCUGCUGUUUUCAACUCUCUGAGAUACUCUGAAUGAUCGGCUAUGAAAAGCCAACUGACAUUUACUCCUGAGGUGCUGACCUGUUUGCUGCACCCUCGACAACCAAUGUGAUUAUUAUUAUUUAACCCUGCUGGUCAUCUAUGAACAUUUGAACAUCUUGGCCAUGUUCUGUUAUAAUCUCCACCUGGCACUGCCAGAAGAGGACUGGCCACCCCUCAUAGCCUGGUUCCUCUCUAGGUUUCUUCCUAGGUUUUGGCCUUUCUAGGGAGUUUUUCCUAGCCACCGUGCUUCUACACCUGCAUUCCUUGCUUUUUAGGGUUUUAGGCUAGGUUUCCGUACAGCACUUUGUGACAUCAGCUGAUGUAAGAAGGGCUUCAUAAAUACAUUUGAUUGACAAAUUUGAUUGAUAUGCUUCCCACCACUGUGACCUGUAUGCUCUGUUUGGCUGAUCCUCGCUACAUAUUCGUCGCCAAACCCACUGGCUCCAGGUCAUAUAUAAGUCUUUGCUAGGUAAAGCUCCACCUUAUCUCAGCUCACUGGUCACCAUAGCAACACCCACCCAUAGCACGCACUCCAGCAGGUAUAUUUCACUGGUCAUCCCCAAAGCCAACACCACAUUUGGCCGCCUUUCCUCCCAGUUCUCUGCUGCCAUUGACUGGAACGAAAUGCAAAAAUCACUGAAGUUGGAGUCUUGUAUCUCCCUCACUAACUGUAAGCAUCAGCUGUCAGAGCAGCUUACCGAUCGCUGCAGCUGUACAUAGCCCAUCUGUAAAUAGCCCAUCCAACCAACUACCUACCUCAUCCCAUAUUUGUUUUAGUUUUUUCUGCUCUUUUGCACACCAGUAUUUCUACUUGCACAUCCUCAUCUGCACUUAUAUCACACUUAUAUCACACAAAAUUGUAAUAACUUUGCCACUAUGGCUUAUUUAUUGCCUUACCUCCUUACUUCAUUUGCACACACAGUAUACAGAUUUUUCUAUUGUGUUAUUGACUGUACAUUUUAUUAUCACAUGUGUAACUCUGUGUUGUUGUUUUUGUCGCACUGCUUUGCUUUAUCUUAGUCAGGUCGCAGUUGUAAAUGAGAAUUAGGUUCUCAACUGGCCUACCUGGUUAAAUAAAGGUGAAAAAAAAACGAAAAAAAAAAAAAACGUUGACCUGUUUAAUGGUUUACUCACAUCGGCUACAGAGAGAGUGAUAACACAGUCGUCUGGAACAGCGGAUGCUCUCAUGCAUGUUUCAGUGUUACUUGCCUCCAAGCGAGGACAGAAGUAAUUUAGUUCGCCAUUACAGUUACUAGUUACCUGUCCAAAAUUGGAAUCAGUAAUAUCACUUUUGGAUUACCAGUUACUCAGUAACGUAAUCAGAUUACUUUCCCAUUAAGUGACAUUAGAAUAAAUCAAAAGCAUUUUGUGU
ensembl:lncRNA